ncrna:unclassified sequences Actino-pnp RNA
ACUGGUCCUCGGUGGUGGCUUACGGAUAACGAUGCCGUUGGCUUCGAUCGAAGAUCCAU